GAAAACGACGUGCGAGGAGCGGCGGUAAUAGGGAGGGUGGAAGCGUUAAUCGGAAUUACUGGGCGUAAAGCGGGCGCAGGCGGCUUAUUAAGUCAGAUGUGAAAUCCCUAGGCUCAACCUAGGAACUGCAUUUGAAACUAAUAAACUAGAGUAUCGUAGAGGGAGGUAGAAUUCCAGGUGUAGCGGUGAAAUGCGUAGAUAUCUGGAGGAAUACCAGUGGCGAAGGCGACCUCCUGGACGAAAACUGACGCUCAAGCACGAAAGCAUGGGGAGCAAACAGGAUUAGAUACCCCAGUAGUC
rnacentral:rRNA from 1 species